rnacentral:piRNA from 1 species
UGCCAUCAUGCUAAUGUUAGGUUGACUGC